UCUGGUUGAUCCUGCCAGUAGUCAUAUGCUUGUCUCAAAGAUUAAGCCAUGCAUGUCUAAGUUCACACUGUCUCACGGUGAAACCGCGAAUGGCUCAUUAAAUCAGUUCGAUUGUUUUAUUAGAUGAAAACUAUCCUCUACUUGGAUAUAACUUGUCAAUUCUAGAGCUAAUUCAUGCUUACCAAGCUCCGACCCUCGUGGGGAAAGAGCGCUUUUAUUAGUUCAAAACCAAAUCCGCCGUUGCCCUUCGCGGGGCGCGGGGCUCCCGAUUGGUGACUCUGGAUACCUUUGUGCUGAUCGCCUGUCCCUAGUGCUGGCGACGCAUCUUUCAAAUGUCUGCCCUAUCAAAUGUCGAUGGUACUUGAUAUGCCUACCAUGUUUGUAACGGGUAACGGGGAAUCAGGGUUCGAUUCCGGAGAGGGAGCUGAGAAACGGCUACCACAUCCAAGGAAGGCAGCAGGCGCGCAACUUACCCACUCCCGGCACGGGGAGGUAGUGAGGAAAAAUAACAAUACCGGGACUCUUUCGAGCCCCCGUAAUUGGAAUGAGUACACUUUAAACCCUUUAACGAGGAUCAAUCGGAGGGCAAGUCUGGUGCCAGCAGCCGCGGUAAUUCCAGCUCCAAUAGUUUCAGGCCCCGUAAUUGGAAUGAGACCACUUUAAACCUUUUAACGAGAUCAAUUGGAGGGGCAAGUCUGGUGGCCAGAGCGCGUAAUUCCAGCUCCAAUAGCGUAUAUUUAAAGUUGUUGCAGUUAAAAAGCCGUAGUUUGGAUUCUCAGGCAGGCGGGGCGGUCCGGCUCGCGCCGGCUCACUGCCCGUUGUGUCUCCUGUGCCCUACCCCGUCCUGCGGCUCUCUCCGUGGGUGCCCUUCGCUGAGCGUCCCGGGUGGCCGGCGCGUUUACUUUGAAAAAAUUAGAGUGUUCAAAGCAGGCCGAGCUGCCUGAAGAAUGGUGCAGUUCAAAGCAGGCCCAGCUGCCUGAAUAAUGGUGCAUGGAAUAAUGGAAUAGGACCUCCGUUUUUUUUUGGCAUGGAAUAAUGGAAUAGGACCUCGGUUCUAUUUUUGUUUGGUAAUGGUGCAUGGAAUAAUGGAAUAGGACCUCGGUUCUAUUUUGUUGGUUUUCGAAACUGGAGGUAAUGAUUACCAGGGACAAACGGGGGCGUUCGUAUUGCGGCGUUAGAGGUGAAAUUCUUGGAUCGCCGCAAGACGAGUUAGAGGUGAAAUUCUUGGAUCGCCGCAAGACGAACUACUGCGAAAGUAUUUGUCAAGAAUGUUUUCAUUAGUCAAGAACGAAAGUCAGAGGCGCGNUCAGAUACCGUCGGUAGUUCUGACCAUAAACUAUGGCCACCUUGCCCAGCAGGAGUUGCCUUCGAUGACUCUGCGGGCCGCCUUCCGGGAAAACCCAAAGGUUUUGGGUUCGGGGGGAGUAUUGUUUGCAAAGCUGAAACUUUAAAGGAAUUGACGGAAGGGCACCACCAGGAGUUGGAGCCUGCGGCUUAAUUUGACUCAACACCGGGAGAAAACUCAACCCGGUCCGGACACUGUAAGGUUGACAGAUUGAUAGCGCUCCUUCCUUGAUUUCGGUGGGGUUGUGGUGCAUGGCCGUUCUCAGGUUGGAGCGAUUUGUCUGGUUAAUUCCGAUAACGAACGAGACUCUAGCCUAUUAAAUAGUUCGCCGGUUCCUGGAUGCGCCGGCGCAACUUCUUAUAGAGGGACGAGUGCGCGUUUAGCCACACGAAAUUGAGCAAUAACAGGUCUGUGAUGCCACACGAAAUUGAGCAAGAACAGGUCUGUGAUGCCCUUAGAUGUCCGGGGCCGCACGCGCGCUACACGGAAGGAAUCAGCGUGGAUGCCUCCCUGGCCCGGAAGGGUUGGGAAACCCGUUGAAUCUCCUUCGUGCUAGGGAUUUGGGGCUUGUAACUGUUUCCCCAUGAACGAGGGAAUUCCCAGUAAGCGCGAGGUCAUAAGCUCGCGUUUAAUUACGUCCCUCCCUUUGUACACACCGGCCCGUCGCUACUAUCGAUUGAGCGGUUCAGUGGGGCCUCGGAUUGGUCUCGCUCUCUUGGCGUGCAAGCGUCCGGCACCGCUUUGGCCGAGAAGACGCUCGAACUCGAUCGCUUGGAGAAAGUAAAAGUCGUAACAAGGUUUCCGUAGGUGAACCUGCGGAAG
rnacentral:rRNA from 1 species